AUUGAACGCUGGCGGCAUGCCUUACACAUGCAAGUCGAACGGUAACAGGUCUUCGGAUGCUGACGAGUGGCGAACGGGUGAGUAAUACAUCGGAACGUGCCUAGUAGUGGGGGAUAACUACUCGAAAGAGUGGCUAAUACCGCAUGAGAUCUACGGAUGAAAGCAGGGGAUCACAAGACCUUGUGCUACUAGAGCGGCCGAUGGCAGAUUAGGUAGUUGGUGGGAUAAAAGCUUACCAAGCCGACGAUCUGUAGCUGGUCUGAGAGGACGAUCGGCCACACUGGGAAUGAGACACGGCCCAGACUCCUACGGGAGGCAGCAGUGGGGAAUUUUGGACAAUGGGCGCAAGCCUGAUCCAGCAAUGCCGCGUGCAGGAUGAAGGCCUUCGGGUUGUAAACUGCUUUUGUACGGAACGAAAAGCCCUGGGUUAAUACCCUGGGGUCAUGACGGUACCGUAAGAAUAAGCACCGGCUAACUACGUGCCAGCAGCCGCCGUAACAC
rnacentral:rRNA from 1 species